rnacentral:rRNA from 1 species
CCUACGGGAGGCAGCAGUGAGGAAUAUUGGUCAAUGGACGAGAGUCUGAACCAGCCAAGUAGCGUGGAGGAUGACUGCCCUAUGGGUUGUAAACUUCUUUUAUAUGGGAAUAAAAUGUUCCACGUGUGGGAUUUUGUAUGUACCAUAUGAAUAAGGAUCGGCUAACUCCGUGCCAGCAGCCGCGGUAAUACGGAGGAUCCGAGCGUUAUCCGGAUUUAUUGGGUUUAAAGGGAGCGUAGGUGGAUUGUUAAGUCAGUUGUGAAAGUUUGCGGCUCAACCGUAAAAUUGCAGUUGAAACUGGCAGUCUUGAGUACAGUAGAGGUAGGCGGAAUUCGUGGUGUAGCGGUGAAAUGCUUAGAUAGCACGAAGAACUCCGAUUGCGAAGGCAGUUCACUGGACUGCAACUGACACUGAGGCUCGAAAGUGUGGGUAUCAAACAGGAUUAGAUACCCUAGUAGUC